GUACUCUCUUCGGCAGUACAUAUAGUAAAAUUGGAACGAUACAGAGAAAAUUAGAAUUGACCCCUGCGCAAGGAUGAGACGCAAAAUCGUGAAGCGUUCCAUAUUCUU
rnacentral:snRNA from 1 species